GCGUCAAUGGUAGAACGGCAGCUUCCCAAGCUGCAUACGAGGGUUCGAUUCCCUUCGCUCCA
rnacentral:tRNA from 2 species